CCAACCCAACCGCACCCCUGGCUCCUUGGACAGUAAUAACGUUGCCAACACGGCGAUGACCCACGGACCUUACUAUAACUUCUUGAAUAACUUAUUCAUUUCUCGAUAGCUUCUACUAUAAAACAGUAGUCAUAGUGCGGCUCUUCUCAUUUUCAGGCUACCACUUGUCAUAGCUUUUCAAGAAUCCUUUUGACUUACACGGUAGGCUAUUAGAAUGUUUUGCCGAAAUCAGGUGUCGAGAGCCACGGUAGCAAGGGGGUCAGCAUUGGAUCUGGAAAUACGACGACAGGGGCAUUUCAACACUCUUACGGACACGGCGCAGGAUGGUGAGGUGCAGCGUCAGAUAGACCGCGAGGUGCGGAUGCGUGAGGGGGCCAGUAAGCUGCUGGCUGCGUGCUCCCAGAGAGACCAGGCCCUGGAGGCCUCCAAGAGCCUGCUCACCUGCAACACCCGCAUCCUGGCCCUGCUCAGCCAGCUGCAGAGGAUGAGGAAGGCCCAGGUCCUGCAGAGAUUAGGCGACAGGUCCUGUAUUGGUGGGUCACUGGAUGAGAGGCUGCCCUGCAUGGGUCAUGUGGCCAUCUCAGACCUGCGUAUCCCACUCAUGUGGAAAGACUCGGAGUACUUCAAGAGCAAAGGAGAGCUGCAUCACUGUGCUGUGUUCUGUCUGCUCCAGUGUGGCAGAGAGAUCUAUGACACAGACCUGGUGAUGGCGGACCGGACUUUGACUGACAUCUGCUUCGAGGACACCAUCAUAUUUAAGGAGGCGAGCCCGUGCUUUGAGCUCCGUGUGGAGCUAUACAGUACCUGUGUGGUGGAGGACUUCUCUCCGGGCCCAGGGGCACUAGGACCCAGGAGACAUAACCGCCUCAGCAGCUCCCUCGGCUGCACCUCUGGGAGGAGGAUCAGGGCAGCUCUAGAGUCUGCAGCCUGUGGUACCAUACCCAACGUAGAGGGAUGUGAUGGAGGAGGAGGGUCUCCACCACCUCUGCUGCCUGCUCUCUGUACAGAGGGGCCAAAGUUUCACCUUCUGGCCCACACCACACUGACAAUAGCACAUGUUCAGGACAGCUUCAGAACACAUGACCUGUCCAUAUCAGCCACAGAGGACAGUGCAUUCUGGCUGCCUCUCUAUGGCAGUGUGUGUUGCCGUCUGGCCGCCCAGCCUCUCUGUAUGACCCAGCAGGUUAUCAGCGGCAGGAUCAAGCUUGAGAAGGAGCCUGAGUGCUGGACUGACAUCUACGGUGUCCUCAAAGGGACAAGUCUUAUCUGUUACCACAGUCAAGAGAGCAUGGUUGCCCAAGAGGAGCCGUUAUUCACCAUCCCCAUCAACAAGGAGACCAACAUCCAUGUGUCCGAGAGAGGGCCUCUGCACCAUACCCAGAGUAUAUCCAUCAGCACACACACCCGAGGUGACGAAGCUGUCACACACACUCUGGUCACACACACACCCCAGGACACACAGCGCUGGAUGGAGGCCUUUUGGCAGCACUUAUAUGACAUGAGUCAGUGGAAACAGUGUUGUAAUGACCUGAUGAAGAUCGAGAUACCCUCUCCUAGGAAAUCCCAUUUGGUCACAGCGAAGCAGGGCUCGCUUUACCACGAAAUAGUCACUCCAUCUUCCCCAGGUGAGAGUGUGGUAAUCCAGGAUAACUCUGUCUGCUGAAGUGUGGGCCUGAUCUCCUCUUACUGUAACCACAGUUGAAGGACCCUCCAUGAUUGCCAGGUUGUCCCAGUCAAGGGGACCAACAUCAGGCAACUGCAUCUACAGGAUCCAACUCUUACCAAACUCCAGCACCCCCCCCCACCACCCAAUUGUACUCCUGCUCUUGGGAGUGACGUGCAGUGACACCCACCUCUCCCAUGACACAGUGUCUCUGUACUAUACCUAUCCCUGUCCUGUAAUAGCACAAAACAGCCACAAGAGCCACUCCUCCCCAGGAACACAUACAGGAACGCCACAAAUUGGGGGCUGCAAUCACACACUUUUGCUAAUUGUAGCAUUCCACACUCUUGAGUUAUUCUGGUAAUGCAGCUUUGACCUUUUCUAGUCCAGCCUCAAUGUUUUAUAGGACAUUUGGCUCUUCUCUUUACUUGUCCUACCAUACCUACAAAAAAAAACAAUCGGCUUUUAAAUGCCGUUAAUUGAUUUUAAAGGUUAAAAAUAUGUUGGCAUGAUUUUGGUACUUAGUCAUACUUUUAUUCUUUCUAUUUCUUCCGGUCAUGAUUGUUGUCAUGAACUGUCAUCUCCUUCAGUGACAUGUCAACGCUGUCAUUGAUGGCUACCCAAAUUGUUGUCAAUAUUCACUGUUCUGCAGUUCAUGCAUGAACUAAUUAAGGACCAGUGCAGUCAAAACGUGACUGUCAUGUGCUUUAUAUAUACAGUACCAGUCAAAACGUGACUGUCAUGUGCUUUAUAUAUACAGUACCAGUCAAAACGUGACUGUCAUGUGCUUUAUAUAUACAGUACCAGUCAAAACUUUGUACAAGUGUGUGCAACGCUG